CAGAAAGCAUAGUAUACAUAUAAAAUAUUGAUAAAGACUGAUAAAUGUCCAUUGGAGCAGGUAACAGAUGAAAUCAAAACAUCUAUUACGUAGGUUCGAGUGAUAUAAGAACUAAAGACGUCUAGUCUUCCAGAUAAUAGGAGGAAGAAGUACCAAAAGAGAGAGGGGGUGAAAGGGGGGGUGAUUAGGAAUGCUCAAAACAACACAUACCAAGAACAGAAAACAAUUUGGUUCCAGCACUUCAUGACACAAACUAGAGAGCUUCAUAAUAGAGAUACAGAGAUCAUGCCUGAAACUUAUCACUAAGUGUCAGAAUUCAGAUCAAUAUCUCAAGAAAUAAUAAUAAUAAUAAUAAUAAUAAUAAUAAUAAUAAUAAUAUCAUAUAAAAUAGGUGAGGAGCUGAGAGAGAGUUGCCCCUCCCCCACAGGGAAAACAACUGAACAUCUUUUCCUGCUGGAGCUCAUUCUCUCUCUCACAGCUCCAUCUGACUGGAGGAGCAGCAGUUCACAGCUGGACAUCAACUCAAGGCAAGUAAUGUUUUUUCUCCUUAUCUUUACACAUAGUUAUAAAUCUGUUCUGUAGUUUAAUUAAAUUAAAUCGUUAAAUAGAGCUUCAGCUAUACAGUUUAAAGAGAAGACAGCUAACUAGCGGUUAGCCCUAAGAUUAAAUCUACCAAAAAUUAUUUAAACUGAGAUGUAGUGAGUAGAUACUUCUUUUGAGUAAAAUCUAACAUGUUAAAGUACAAGGCCAAAGGUUUACUUCUUCCUGUAGACCUUUUUGUUUGUAUUUUUACACCCAUUUCCCGCCAAAAUGUUAGCUUUCUAGCUAACAUGCUACUGAGCAGAUUAUUUUAGUUUAGCACAGCAUGAAUUUUAUUUAACAUGAGCUUAAAAUAGACAUUUUGUCUGUUUUAACGAGUUUCCUGAAAGUUUGUUGGCUUUAAAUCACAGCAUUUUAUUUGAAGUUGUAAAUAGCUGAUAUUUUUGUAUGCUUUGUAAAGCUCUCAGUGAACAUAUAUCCCAUAUAUCCCAGUGAACACUAGCUUGCUGCUAGCUGAAGUUCAGUCAGUUAGUUACACAAGAUGGUGGAUAGUUACACAAGAUGGUGCUGUCUGUCUUACCUCAGCGGCUACGAGCGCGCGCGUUACUGCUGCCGAUUCAGCGCCGCUUUCUGAGAGAAGUGUUUUAUGUGACGUGUUAAGAAGUUGUUUGUCAUCAGAAUGAGCGUUUUGGCCAUAUAACAGAGAAGGUUUUCUUACCAAAUACAUUAAAUCAGCUCUUCACUUUAUUGCUGCGUGCCUCAGUGUGUUAAUUCUGUGAGGUAUAAUUCAGAAAAAAUGUUUUUUAUGUUUCCAGUCGAUGCUAAGUGAGCUGAACUAAGACCUGAAGACACAGUUAAAUAAAAUACAAUACUUUUGCUUGGGAAAGAUUGAUCUUUGUGUAUUAUAUAUAUAUAUAUAUAUAUAUAUAUAUAUAUAUAUAUAUAUAUAUAUAUAUAUAUAUAUAUAUAUAUUGCUGUGUGCAAUGUCAGUCGUGCAUUUCUUUCUUUAGUUAAUUUCUUUCUAAUGAACUGACUGUAUAAUUAUCAACAUGUAUAUUUUAAAACAUUAGAUUAAGAAAGAUGUUGAAGUAAGAUAUCGAGGUAAACAUGUGUAUUGUGAAGUCAAAAUAUCAUUAAUAUUCAGAAAAAAAGAAACCACACACACUUUUCCUUUCCUUCUGACCCCUUCAAAAAAACACUGAAAAUAAAAUAGAAAUUGGUACAUACCACGUUAACAAGACAUGAAAUUUUAAAAUAAUUGAACUGACAAAAGUUCCAACGGAACCAAAAAAUAAAUGUUAUAAAAAACUAAUAGGAGAAUAAUGAGGACUAUUUGUUUAAUUCUUUCCUCGUUAUACUGUUUAGGGAGAGGUGUGAAAACAGGACACUCAUCCACAGUCAUCACCAGAUCUCGAAGCGCUUGUCUUUUCGGAAAGGCUCAAUAUCAGUAAUUCUGUUGUUGUGGAGUCUGAAGACACAACAAAGAUAUUCAAACUUUCAUUAAACAGAUCCAAACCAGUGCUACAAGAGAAGUCCAGUCUGCUCUGCAGAGCAGAGAAAACUGCUGCUACUGCCCCCUGCUGGAUCUCAGAGAUACUGCAGCAGUGGAUCAACUUCAACAACAGGACCCUGUCAACACUGAGAGCAAGGAAAACAAGCAUUUUCUUUGUUACACUUAUGUAUUUUUUAAUUAGUGGUGCUUGAAAAGCACUACUAUUGUUCUUCGGCAUACUUAUUAUAAAUAUUAUUCUUCUUCUGCCACUUUUUUUUCGGCGCGUAACUAGUCCCGCACCGUUUGUCGGAGAUCGACGGGUGAGGUGUCAAAUCGAUCGGCUUAUUGAGUAGAGGUGUGCUAUGACUUUUGGUAGCGAUUGUAAUGUCGGCAUUUCCGGUACGGAAGCUCAAAGUCGGAAAAUUUCCCAUAGACUUGCAUUGAGUUUUGAAAGUAUUGGCACUCUAAAGAGAAAGCUCUAAAAGUUUUGCCUCCGUACACAUUCGGCUCUAAAAUGUAUUGGCACCUGAUCUGUUCGGCACUCAGAAGUAUUGGCACCCUAUCUGUCCGGCUCUCGAAAGUAUUGGCACCCUACGCGGGUCGGCUUUUGAAAGAAUUGGCGCCCCGUCCCAGUUUCGCCGCGUCAAGCACCACUCACAUUUUCUUCAGGAAAUGUACCGGUCUAGUUAUUACUGCAAUUUCUAUUACUCUAAAGUGGAUUGUGAACACUGAGUUACCUGAGCUGAGAAACUCUGUUGAACAGAGGGAGAAUCUUCACCAGCUCCCCCUCUGGUAUGGAGGUCCACAGCAGGCUCAGAGAGACAGAAGUACAGUGUUGGAGGGUGAAGCACAGGGCAGUACAGUGGUAAGAGUCCAGCUCUGUAUUGUUCAGGUUGAUACAGCUGUGUGUUGAACUCAACAGACUGGACACACAGUGAGCAGAGCCAGUCUCAUAGAUCUCUCUGAUGAUUGACAGCACAACACUGGGGUUCAAUCUGUAGAGGUUACAAUCACAUCCAUACAUAAAUUUAACGAUAAAUAUUAUUCUUCUGUUAAACCAAUACAGGAGAGGCAAUUCUUUUUAUUUAUUCCUUUUCUUUCCACAAGGUUUAUUAAUUAUUAAUAUUUAACGAUAUGAGCCUCUGAGUACUGAGUGUGGAUAUAUUAUUGUUCAACAUUGAAGAUAUGUCCAUUAAAUAAUGCAUUAAGAUAAUAGUGUAUCUGAUUAUCAUAAAUGUUUACGUGUGUCAUUAUUGGUGCAUUAAUAUGUGGUACAUUUCUAUUCCAGAAACCACACAUAUAGUAAAAGGUGUCUUUGGAAGCAAGAGUGCCUGAUCACAUGAUGUUGACUAAUAAAGAUGAUCAGACAGCCAUAAGAGUUGCUUCAUCUUGAAUCAGGCUCACAUUACUCAAACCGGUGUUCAUGUGGAUGUGACUUCAUCUAUUCUUUUACAUAGCUUUGAGUCUUUGGAACUUAACACAGACUCUGAAAGUGCAUUACCAAGCAAAAUUCACUAUACCUUAGUAUUACUGUUAUAAAAUUAUAAUUAGUUUCAGUUUCGGAAGGAUGUUAAUGAGUUAUGUACAGUAGGUAUCUAAUAUUGUUCAAUAGUACAUUAUUCAAAAGUAAGCAAAGAAACAUUUUAGAUGUAACCCACCUAAUAGUCUUAAAUUGCUACUCAACAUUUAAAGAUUAAGUAUGAAAGCAGAAAUUCUUUCAAAGGAGAUUACAUGUGUAUCUUCUUACCGUUUAAACUGAAUUUCAGACAGUAGAGGAAGAAUCUGUCUGGCAUGAUUAUAUGUGAUUUUGCUCUUUCUGAUGUUCGCACUAAUGCAGCAAACUCGCUGCUGGAGAAAAUAGAUAAGCUCCUCCCAACUGAGAGAACAGGAAGUCAGGUCUCCUCCCACCUUCUCCAGGAAAAAGCGGGUCAGUUCCCCAUCCUGCACCUCACACAGCAGACUGCAUGACACAUGAGGCUGAUGAGAGAGUGAGCCUCCAUCCUGCACUCAGUGAGAUUCACACAGUGAACAGUCCAGAUGUUCAGGAGAGAAGACAAACUGCUCAGAAAUGUGAAGAUCUCUUUCUUUGGGUUUAUGCUGUUAAGCCUCAGACAGAGCUCCUCAAUGACCAACGAGCCACCAGCUCUCACUGCUCCAAAUGCUCGGACCAUCCUCCCUACCACACGGUCACUCAGGCUGACAAGCGUUCACCAAACACAUUCAUUAAAGGGGAUUUCAUGGUCCAGCUCAAUUUCACUCAUGCAUACUAAAGCUUAAUGAAGUUAUAUAACCUGGUGUGAAAAUUAAGAAACUGAUUAAUAACAUACCAGAGUUUCUGUAGGUGUGUGAUGUGUCUGAAGAGAAGUCUGGCCCCUCGGAGAGAGAUGGCUCGGGGUUUCAGAGUGAGUUUGACUUUGGAGUCUGAGAGACGUAGCACUUUCCUCACAGCCCUGCACUCACGAGUGGUUAAAACCCAGUCUAUAAUGAAGAUGAAGUCCAAGGCAGCAAAGAAAGCUCUCACCAACUUUGUAUCUUCUGCGCAGUCAACAACUGCUUUACUUAAACGUGGAAUGAACUCUUCUUCACAUCUAAAACAGACAGGAUUAAUGUAAAACUAUAAAUAGGACAUCUUCUAACUUAUUGUUCUUAAAAUUCCAUAAAUAACAUGUUAGAGGUGAUGCAGUGCUGCUAUAAAGUUUGUGAACCUUUUACAUUUUCUGCAUUUCUGCAUAAAUUUGAUCUGAAAUGUGAUCAGAUCUUCAUCUCAGUCAGAA
ensembl:lncRNA